rnacentral:tRNA from 1 species
CGGAAUGUUCGCGACAUGUGACGUCGCCUGCUUCGGGAGCAGGAGGUCGGAGGUUCGAAUCCUCUCGCCCCGA